UACGAAGGGGGGCUAGCGUUGCUCGGAAUUACUGGGCGUAAAGCGCACGUAGGCGGCUUUCUAAGUCGGGGGUGAAAUCCUGGAGCUCAACUCCAGAACUGCCUUCGAUACUGGAGAGCUCGAGUCCGGGAGAGGUGAGUGGAACUGCGAGUGUAGAGGUGAAAUUCGUAGAUAUUCGCAAGAACACCAGUGGCGAAGGCGGCUCACUGGCCCGGUACUGACGCUGAGGUGACGAAAGCGUGGGGAGCAAACAGG
rnacentral:rRNA from 1 species